UACGUAGGUGACCAGCGUUGUCCGGAUUUACUGGGCGUAAAGAGCGCGCAGGCGGUCGUUCAAGUCGAGUGUGAAAGCCCCCGGCUCAACUGGGGAGGGUCACUCGAUACUGAUCGACUUGAAGGCAGGAGAGGGAAGCGGAAUUCCCGGUGUAGUGGUGAAAUGCGUAGAUAUCGGGAGGAACACCAGUGGCGAAGGCGGGUCUCUGGGCAACAACUGACGCUGAGGCGCGAAAGCCAGGGGAGCAAACGGG
rnacentral:rRNA from 1 species